GACAGAGGGUGCAAACGUUGCUCGGAAUCACUGGGCGUAAAGGGCGUGUAGGCGGGACAGUAAGUCGGGCGUGAAAUCCCUGGGCUCAACCCAGGAACUGCACUCGAAACUACUAUUCUUGAGUGUCGGAGAGGAAAGCGGAAUUCCUGGUGUAGAGGUGAAAUUCGUAGAUAUCAGGAGGAACACCAGUGGCGGAAACGGGCGGCUUUCUGGA
rnacentral:rRNA from 1 species